ACUACGCUGGCGGCGUGCCUAAUACAUGCAAGUCGAACGGGAUUCUUUGAUCAGCUUGCUGAGAGAAGGAUCUAGUGGCGGACGGGUGAGUAACGCGUGGGAAUCUGCCUCUUACUGGGGGAUAACAGUGGGAAACUACUGCUAAUACCGCAUAAGAUCUUCGGAUGAAAGGUGCAACUGCACCGGUAAGAGAUGAGCCCGCGUCCCAUUAGCUAGUUGGUGAGGUAAAGGCUCACCAAGGCGACGAUGGGUAGCCGGCCUGAGAGGGUGAACGGCCACACUGGGACUGAGACACGGCCCAGACUCCUACGGGAGGCAGCAGUAGGGAAUCUUCCGCAAUGGGCGCAAGCCCGACGGAGCGACGCCGCGUGAGUGAUGAAGGCCUUCGGGUCGUAAAGCUCUGUUCUUGAGGACGAAUAAGCCAGGGAGUGGAAAGCCCUGGUGAUGACUGUACUCAAGGAGAAAGCUCCGGCUAACUACGUG
rnacentral:rRNA from 1 species